rnacentral:rRNA from 1 species
UGGGGAAUAUUGCGCAAUGGGCGAAAGCCUGACGCAGCGACGCCGCGUGAGGGAUGAAGGUUUUCGGAUCGUAAACCUCUGUCAGAAGGGAAGAAACCGCACUGUGCUAAUCAGCAGUGCCUUGACGGUACCUUCAAAGGAAGCACCGGCUAACUCCGUGCCAGCAGCCGCGGUAAUACGGAGGGUGCAAGCGUUAAUCGGAAUUACUGGGCGUAAAGCGCACGUAGGCUGCUUUGUAAGUCAGAGGUGAAAUCCCACGGCUCAACCGUGGAACUGCCUUUGAUACUGCUUAGCUUGAAUCCGGGAGAGGGAGGCGGAAUUCCAGGUGUAGGGAUGAAAUCCGGAGAUAUCUGGAGGAACAUCAGUGGCGAAGGCGGCCACCUGGACCGGUGUUGACGCUGAGGUGCGAAAGCGUGGGGAGCAAACAGG